rnacentral:rRNA from 1 species
AAGAUAAGAUAUCCCUUCGUAAGAGUAAGACCUCUCAAAGACUAUGAGUUUGAUAGGCUCAAAGUGUAAGCGUGGUGACACGUUCAGCUUGCGAGUACUAAUCGGUCGAGGGCUUUUCCU